CUGUCUAACACACCUGCAGCCGUGUCAAGCUCUCUCGCUCUUUUGUCAAAUCUCGCUCCCAUUCGCUGUCUCGCCUCCUUAACGGGAGCAAGCAUUUUGCAUGCGUAAGAGCGCGCGCUCCAUUCAACCGCACAUAGCACGCCUCUCACUCUCGCCCGCUCUCGCUCGCUCUGUCUGCUACGACGGAGCACGGCUCCGGUGUCGAGCGGUGAAUCGAACGCAUCGCGAACUGCAUAAGCAUUUCGUGGCCGGACCGAUGCGGAUCCCAAGCACAGCCCAGAGCCGCACACAGAGUCGCACACAGAGCCCCCAUCGGAGCCCGGAAGGCAUCGAAGCGUCGAGUGUGCGUUGUGUCGUAUCGUGUGGGACACUCGCCCGGCAUUCAACACUGAGGCAGAGCAGCAGCAGCAGCGUCUAAAGCGACGCCCGCGUGUGUGUGUCUGCGACACAAGCCGUAAGUAGUGAAGUGCGUGCGUUCGUGCGUGUUUUGUCGGUCGGAAACUGUAUAGAAAGGGAAGCAAGUGCACAGACGCUGUGAAUCGAUCGUGUGACAGUUGCGUGUACCGGCAGCCAAUUGCGUCCAAACUGUCACUGCGUCCGGCACACAAAUACAACAAACCGCACUAGCGAGAAGUGUGCACAAUGCGCGCGUGUGUGUAUGACGCUGCCACCGCUGUCGUCGCCCCGCUGCAGCAGUGCUAGGUUAGGAGGGCACACACAACAGUGCGCGCGUCAUCAUUAUUUGCCUCGCCGCUCGCCUCUAUGUUUGCUCAGUGCGUGCGUGCGUGUGCGAGUGUGUGCACACAAGUGAUCGUGAGACACCCCCCGUCCGUCUGUUAAAUAGAGUGUGUGUGUGUGCGCGCGUUUUUGUUGUUGUUACUGCUGCCGUUUUUAAGUCGUCUCGCGGUGCGAAGCGUUUUGUUUCGCGUCUAAUGUACUUGUCACACAAAACUUUGCCUCCCGCGUGUGUGUGUGUGUGUGACUGAUGGGGCAGAAUUAGAAGAAGAAGUGACGGGAGAGUAACAAAAAAGAAACAGUUCACAUACCAGCACGAAAGAUAAAACAAGCCCCAGACACACACAAACACUCCUCACGGGACAACCCAUAUUGCUCCAGCGUCGGUCGGUGUAUUAGCUGCCGUGAAGGGGCGUCCAACUUGCCACCGUCUCCGUCGUGUGUGCCUUCCAACAAACACGCAGACACCGCGACACGGCCUGCAAAAGUCGCGCCGGGAGUCAACCACUGCGUCACGGUGCAUCUCGGAUAAAACUGUCUUCUGCCUGAACCGGGAGCAAAAAAACAGCCUUCAGUUGGAACGCGGUUUGCCAUCGUCACCGCCCGCUUCGAUCGACAGGAAAGAGAGUGCAGCAAGCGAGAGAAAGAGAGGGCACGCGAGCGAGAAAGGGCAAUUGCUAAACGUCAUCACAAGCGACACACUUGUGCGUGUUCGAUCCCCCCUCCGCUGCACCGUCAUUGCCCAGGGUUGUUGAAGAGAUUGUUGAAGUGCUAAAACUGCUGGUCAGUUUUUGAACGUGCGGUGACCUCUGGCUUCCCUGAGCAGCAAACCCCGAACGCAGGCUGCAAACGGAAACUGCAUCCGCACCAGGAGCGAAGGGGGCGUUUGUGCAAUUGCUUCCUCUCGUUUUGAGGCCGUCUGGCGUCUGGCAACAGCAGGAGAGGAGGAUUGGUUCGAGGAAAAGAAACCCUGCAAGGGCUCGGCUGCAUUUGUGCGUAUGUGUGUGUGUGUGUGCGAUGCAACGGUUGUGAACAGCGGCGCGGCGAAUGCGCGAUGUGCUGUGAUUUAAUGCGAAUGCAAUCGGUACGAUAUGCAUUGCACCCCCCCGGAAGCCGGCCAGCAGCAGCAGCAGCAGCACGGGAUUGAGCGAUGGUGGUGGUGCUGCAGCAGAAGAAGCAAACGAAGCAGAAAGGCUGUGUCGUCUGUGUUGCGGUAGUCGUUGCCCGCCUUCCCACCUUUCUGCUUGCAUAAACCUCUGUGCAAUCUUUGCAAUCUAAAGAAGAAAAAACGGUGUAAAACUGAGGCGCCACAGCGUGUGUGUGUGUGUGAUUGUGAACGUGUAUAUGUGGGAGUGCAAAUAGUGAAACCAAGUUCUCCAUUGCCUAAUCGUGGCUUUUGAUAAGUCUUAUCGAUAAUUUCACGGCUGGCUGUGUGUAGGUAAAAGAAGAAAAGAAAAGGCAUAAAGGGCCUCCUCCAAUCAUUACCGGUGUUUGUGUGUAUGUGUGCGAUUGUGUAUAUAAAUUUGCCAGUGUAUGAGUAAUGCGUGUGUGUAAUUUCGUGUGCGCUUGAAGCAAUUGGUUUGUGCAUUAGUGGCAAAGAAAAGGCAGCCGCAAAAGGAAGGGAAUUUUCCUAGUGUGAUAAAAGUUGCACCGGUAGCCGUGUGUAGCUUGUGUGUGAGUGUACGUGUGCGUUUUGUGGCUUUAAAAAUGCGUGCCUAAACGAAACGAGUACGGGCAGGAUUGGAAAGGCGAAAGAAUUUUCCAUUCGAUUUUGCCUCUCCGUGUGUUGAGUAUAUGAGCGUUUGCGUCGUGAGGCUGCCGGCCCAAUCAAUCAAAGCAAUCGGUGGAAAAACAGUGUGUGUUUGUGUGUGUGAUUGUGCGUGCGUUUCGUGUUUUCGCGUGUGGCUUCUCUAACGCAGGAACGAACACCGGUGGCGAAUACGUUGGCAACGAGGAGGAAAAACAAAAUCAACAUAGCAAAACGGAAGCGAACGAAAAAAGUCAAAGUCCUUUUGAUGACGUGUGAGAGAGAGAGAGAUGGUACUGGGGCGAGGAGAGAAGAAGGAGGAAAAGCGGGCGCACACAAUGGCCCGGCACACGGAGAAUGUUCCGGUCAAAGUUGAAGGAACUUUGUACGUGAAUAGGUUUUGUUGUUUAGUUUCUUUUCUUUUUUUUUUUUUUGUUGCCCUGAGAAGGAAAGGACUCGUUCGGUUUGUUGUUUGUUCACGCACUGCCCGAAACGGUCCAAAAGCGAGGAACAAAUGGCAGCUUGUUGGUUUGUCGUGAAGAGAAGAGUGUUUGCCGGAGUUUCGAGAAGAAUCACUAAAACAAAUUGUAUUUCUAGGAUCUUUGCGUUAACAAUUUGAUGGAAUCGAACAAAGUAUUGUGCGGUAAAAAACAACAUGUUACGUAUUGAUUCAUAAGCUUCAUUUUCCACCUACUGAACACCUCAAGAAACGCCAUCUUCAUCUCUUUCUGGCGGGAGUGGUUCCACAAUCUUAAUUUCUGAUGCCGGCCCGUUCACUGCCAAGACACUGCUUUGCAAGUAUUUAUGAGGUGUAGUUUUUUUCCCUCUUCAAGAGCUCACCUAGGCACCGUUUAGACAAAAAAAGCAGACGAUGUGAAAAAAAUGGAGCUUAGUAAAACUGGCCCCUAGCUUCAUUUAUCAUCCACACCUUCCACGCGCUGCUGUCGUGCAUCGAAAAGCGGUGGGCUUUGAAGCUGCGAGGCGGAGCGAGGAAAAAAGUACAGCAACGCAUCAACCCUGGAAGGCUAGGGUAGGAAAUUUUGCAUUACAGUAGAUGAGAAAGACGAGCAAGAGAGAAAUAAGCCAACACCACGAAACAAGUCAAUGUGAAACACCUGAGCCAUGCAUUUCCCUACUUCACCUUUCGUUGGUGCUUCGUCUUUUAAGUUUAGGUCCUAAAGAAGCUUUUUCCAACUCCAACUGCAAAAAACUGCUUUUGAUAACGAGUGUUCAUCGUUAAUUUUUAAAUUUAUUUAUUUUUAUUUCCUCAUUUUGGAGGGAUGAAGCACAAAAAUGAGGCUCUAAAAUUGUCACCUGCUGUUUAGCAAAUUUACGGCCAAUUUAUAUGACCGAUCAAAACGAGCUCCGAUGCUCCACAAACUACAGCUAGUUAGAAAUCAUCACACCGGGAUGGGGCGGGAGGACACUUGAAUGCAGCUAAUUAGGAAUGCACGUCCGUCCCCAGGGCGGACGAAAACCAGUUUUCGGGCCAACCGUUUAUAGGCCUUUUUUAUUGGAGGCUCGUGAAUGGGAUGCAUGAUUAACGGCUUCGACCAGGG